GUGUGAUUCAGUAAUACAUAUACUAAAAUUGGAAUGAUACAGCGAUUAUCAUGGCCCCUGUAUAAGGAUGACAUGCAAAUUCAUGAAGCAUUUCAUAUUUUC